rnacentral:rRNA from 1 species
AUUGAACGCUGGCGGCAGGCUUAACACAUGCAAGUCGAGCGAGCGGCGGACGGGUGAGUAAUGUCUGGGAAACUGCCUGAUGGAGGGGGAUAACUACUGGAAACGGUAGCUAAUACCGCAUACCAUCAGAUGUGCCCAGAUGGGAUUAGCUAGUAGGGGGGGUAAUGGCUCACCUAGGAGACGCUCCCUAGCUGGUCUGAGAGGAGGACCAGCCACACGGGAACGGGGACAGGGUCCAGACCCUUACGGGGGGCAGCGUUGGGGAAUAUGCAACAAUGGGGGAAAGCUGGUGGCGGCCAUGCGGGUGGUGUGAAGAAGGCCUUCGGGUGGUAAAGAACUUUAAGCGAGGAGACUUUACUCGCGGAAGAAGCACGGGCUAACUCCGUGCCAGCAGCGGGGGGAAUC